rnacentral:rRNA from 1 species
UACGUAGGGGGCGAGCGUUGUCCGGAUUCAUUGGGCGUAAAGAGCUCGUAGGCGGCUUGGCAAGUCGGGUGUGAAAACUUCAGGCUCAACCUGGAGCGGCCACUCGAUACUGCCAUGGCUUGAGUCCGGUAGGGGACCACGGAAUUCCUGGUGUAGCGGUGAAAUGCGCAGAUAUCAGGAGGAACACCGAUGGCGAAGGCAGGUCUCUGGGCAUUAACUGACGCUGAGGAGCGAAAGCAUGGGGAGCGAACAGG